rnacentral:rRNA from 1 species
UACGGAGGGUGCGAGCGUUGUCCGGAAUCACUGGGCGUAAAGGGCGCGUAGGCGGCGCGGAUAGUCGGCGGUGAAAGCCCGGAGCUCAACUCCGGGUCGGCCGUCGAUACUUCCGGGCUUGAGCACUGUAGAGGCAGAUGGAAUUCCGGGUGUAGCGGUGGAAUGCGUAGAGAUCCGGAAGAACACCGGUGGCGAAGGCGGCGAUCUGGGAAGAUACUGACGCUGAGGUGCGAAAGCGUGGGGAGCAAACAGG